UACGUAGGGUGCAAGCGUUAAUCGGAAUUACUGGGCGUAAAGCGUGCGCAGGCGGUUUUGUAAGUCUACGUGAAAGCCCCGGGCUUAACCUGGGAAUUGCGUUGGAGACUGCAAGGCUUGAAUCUGGCAGAGGGGGGUAGAAUUCCACGUGUAGCAGUGAAAUGCGUAGAGAUGUGGAGGAACACCGAUGGCGAAGGCAGCCCCCUGGGUCAAGAUUGACGCUCAUGCACGAAAGCGUGGGGAGCAAACAGG
rnacentral:rRNA from 1 species